AUGCCAGCCGCCGCGGUAAUACGGAGGAGGCAAGCGUUAUCCGGAAUUAUUGGGCGUAAAGGGUCCGCAGGUGGCAGUUCAAGUCUGCAGUCAAAGGUCGGGGCUCAACCCCGGAAAGGCUGUGGAAACUGAACAGCUAGAGUACGGUAGGGGCAGAGGGAAUUCCCAGUGUAGCGGUGAAAUGCGUAGAGAUUGGGAAGAACACCGGUGGCGAAAGCGCUCUGCUAGGCCGAAACUGACACUGAGGCACGAAAGCCAGGGGAGCGAACGGGAUUAGAUACCCCUGUAGUCCUAGCUGUAAACGAUGGAGACUAGGUGUGGCCUGUAUCGACCCGGGCCGUGCCGGAGCUAACGCGUUAAGUCUCCCGCCUGGGGAGUACGCACGCAAGUGUGAAACUUAAAGGAAUUGACGGGG
rnacentral:rRNA from 1 species